rnacentral:misc_RNA from 1 species
UUAAGUUCAGCGGGUAUCCCUACCUGAUUCGAGGUCAAAAUAGUAAAAGAUCUUGAUGGAAGUCAAGCCCGCCAAAACCUCAAAGAGCGCAAAGUGCUGCGCGAGAGGCCGGCAAACUACUGCCAAUGCUUUUAGGGCGAGUCUACACCAUAGAUAUAGACAAACACCCAACACCAAGCAAUGCUUGAAGGGUUAAAUGA